rnacentral:tRNA from 1 species
GGGUUGUUAGCUCAGUCGGUAGAGCAGCGGACUUUUAAUCCGUUGGUCACAGGUUCAAGUCCUGUACAACCCACCA